CUUUGUUCUCUAUAUAACUCCUUAAGAUUAAGGAGUAUGGAUUGAGAAUCUAUUUUCUCAUGUUGCCUCUAUAGCUCGUUACUCAUGGAGGCCAACAUGAUGCACUUGAUAGUAGUAUUGUCAUUCUGUCAUAUCUUAUAUGUGGCUCUCUCCUCCUUGAUAGCAUCUUCCCAAAUAGAAUCAAGGCUGGGAGUGUCCAAAAUGUAGGAGAUCUUUUCUUACGUAAGAAUAAUGUGCAAGUUUCUCAUCUAGUCCA
rnacentral:lncRNA from 1 species